GCUUGUCUCAAAGAUUAAGCCAUGCAUGUCUAAGUAUAAACAACUUUAUACUGUGAAACUGCGUACAGCUCAUUAUAUCAGUGAUUGUCGAUUUGAUGGUACCUUACUACAUGGAUAACCGUAGUAACCUAGAGCUAAUACAUGCGCAAAAUCCCGACUUCACGGAAGGGAUGUAUUUAUUAGAUUCAAAACCAAUACGGGCAACCGUUUUUUGGUGAUUCAUAGUAACUGUUCGAAGCGCAUGACCUCGUGUCGGCGCUAGUUCAUUCAAAUUUCUGCCCUAUCAGCUCUCGACGGUAGUGUAGUGGACUACCGUGGCGCUAACGGGUGACGGAGAAUUAGGGUUCGAUUCCGGAGAGGGAGCCUGAGAAACGGCUACCACAUCCAAGGAAGGCAGCAGG
rnacentral:rRNA from 1 species